CCUACGGGGGGCUGCAGUGAGGAAUAUUGGUCAAUGGGCGUAAGCCUGAACCAGCCAAGUCGCGUGAGGGAUGAAGGUUCUAUGGAUCGUAAACCUCUUUUAUAAGGGAAUAAAGUGUGGGACGUGUCCUAUUUUGUAUGUACCUUAUGAAUAAGGAUCGGCUAACUCCGUGCCAGCAGCCGCGGUAAUACGGAGGAUCCGAGCGUUAUCCGGAUUUAUUGGGUUUAAAGGGUGCGUAGGCGGCUUUUUAAGUAAGCGGUGAAAGUCUGUGGCUCAACCCUAGAAUUGCCGUUGAAACUGGUGGGCUUGAGUAUGUGUGAGGCAGGCGGAAUUCGUUGUGUAGCGGUGAAAUGCUUAGAUAUCACGAAGAACCCCGAUUGCGAAGGCAGCCUGUCAAGCUGUAACUGACGCUGAUGCACGAAAGCGUGGGGAUCAAACAGGAUUAGAUACCCGAGUAGUC
rnacentral:rRNA from 1 species